UUUUGUAAACAAACAACAUAGCGUAACAUGGCGGCCGGGCCGCCCCUUCGGCCCCGCCGAUCGAAUCCUCGGCGACAUUUUAUCGACGCGAUUUGGUCAAGGGCCCCAAGGUCACGGUGUUAGCGCUGCUUCCUUUCCCCGAGCUUCCGUUUCCUUGCCCCCGAACGCCUUCCGCUCGCCCCUUUCGGGAGGUGUACGCCGUCGUCGGAUACUCGUCACAACACGACCACGUGACCAUAAUAUUUAUCAUUCGUACUCGAGUCCGCAUGUCAUGACGGUUGAGGGCCGCACUUUUUGCUUGAUUUUGGGGUUUCAACUGUCUUUGUAAAGUACUUACGGUUCGGCACCAACUGGUGUUUCGGUUUUCUUACAGUUUGACACAGUUUUGCCAAUUACAAUGAAACGAGGUUAUAACCACGUCAUAACCACGGUUAUAACUUCUAGCAGUAGAGUUCCUAUAUUGGGAGAGUUGGGACACUGAAUGUCAAUUUUCGAAAUUUUGUUUCAUAUACGUCGGUUGGAAUGUAUAAAAAACAAAUUGGGAUAGAAAUCAGUGGUGUUACACUUGAAAUUUAGCGAAAAGUCAAAUAAAUUUGUCAAAAAAUGUUUCCAUUUUUCGUCGACUAACUGCGUUUAGAAAUGGUUUAGACUGGCAGUCGUCGUCAAUUCACUAUUUUUUUUAUAUAAACUCCAAAUUUUAAAAGAGAUUUCUUUAAAUGGUAAUCAUCGAUGAAAGAGAGAGAAACUGAACCUUUCCUGCCAAGUUUUACGUUCAUUAUUAACAAGCAUUUGGAAAAGUGGAUUGUCGAAAUAAUGUUAUGUACAAAAUUUAUGAGAUUUUGGGAAUUUGUCUAUGCAUUUACAAAAUACGUUGGUACUUGAACCCAAAAUUGGUUCUAAUUUUUAGGAAAGUUGAACCUGUUACUGCUUGGCCGCCAUCUACGUGAACUUUAGCUACUGUUUCAAAUUAUAAAGUUAUUGGGAAUUCACGAUGUUGUUACGUUUUUCAUACGAGAUCAUCUUCAAUAUCAUUUUUUAGAAAAUUUAAAAAGACGACGGGAAAUAUGAAGGGUUCUUGAUGACCAAUUUUUGGGACGAGAUGUUUAACUAAAAAUUGUGAUUGAAAGAAAAGCAUUUUUAGCAUUGAAGUAUGUUUUAAGUAAUGUAUUUAAUAUUAAAAUAAAUAUUGAAAAAUUUCAGAAAUGUGAACAAUAAUAUUGAUAGGUAUUCAAUUAUUUUCUUUUCUUAAAUAGUAAUCCCAAAAUUUCUACGUUUUCUACGUCCCUGAUUAAAUUUGACGUAAAAUUAUGUCAUUUUAUGCAUUUGACAAAAAUUAUAACCUUGAAAUUAUUUUCGACAUAAACCUCUGACAUAAGUUACUAACAAAAAUUUUAAUAAAAAAGGAUAGAAAUAUAUACCUUAUCCACAUGGUGGUGUUAAAAGGUAUGGUGCUCCAACUCCCUUCAUUUGUUUUAAACUGGAACGAACUGACGAGGUCGGGAACCAUUUCAUACAAUGGCCAUUAGAUAGCGCUUUUUGAAUUUGAUUUAAAGGUAUCCUUAUUACCGAUCACAUUUUGAACUUCAAAAAUGCUUCAUAUUUGAUUACAGUGACAGUAGCAUUUUGGCAGAUAAGAUUCAAUUUACUGAAAAAGGGAAGAUAGUGAUACUAUUACCGGUCUUUAACUGAGUGACGGGCACAUCAAACUGAUAUUUUGUGAUGGUUGUGUUUUCAGUGGUACUUGUGUAUGUAAAAUUUUUGCAAAAAGUGGCUCCCAAAGACAAGUUCACACACUUACAUACCUAAGAGACUCACACCCAACUGUAAUUAAUUAAAAGACUGAUUUUGCUAAUUGUGUAUUAUACUUCUCAUCUGUAGUUUUGAUUAAAAAUAUUAAUAAUUUUAUUAAUUACUGUCAUUUCUUAUGUUAUGCGGAAUUUCAGUUAAAAUUAUUGAAACAAGGCUGGUUCCUACAUCCAUAUGGGUUUGAUUACAAAGAUUACUCGAUGGAUUGAUGCUUUUUCUACACAACUGCAAAUAGUACAUAGUUCAAAAUCAUUUUGACUAUGGUGUUAAGCGAUAUAAUUACCUGGUUGUUUUUGGCGUUGCUGUAUUCUAACACUUUCGAAAACUCAAGUGCAACUACCGUUUGUACAGACAUCAAUCACCUUAUAAUGCGUUCACAGUUGUUUUCGGGCCUCCGAUAUGAAUUUAUUUAUGUCUCUACUUAAGAGAUUAUUGUAGUGAAACCAUUUUACUGCUAAAUAAAUCAAUUUCCCUUUAAAGACCAUACUUGUGAUUCAUUAACUAAUAUAAUUCCUGGCACAGGUUCGUAGAUAGUCGUAAACACCGUAAACAGCUUUAGACCACAGAAUUUAAUAUGAUGUGUCAUUAUGACGUAAAUUUGAAAAA